AUCUUCACCAAAAUGAUAAGAGAGAUAUUUAAUGGUCCUCCAUAAAAUCCUCUGCUACUCUCUCUCUCUCUCUCUCUCUAUUUCCCGCUUGAAAGACCCUCCGAAUGUCCAGAGGUUUAGGGUUUCUAAUUCAUAGUUUUAAUCCUCAGUAACCUGCAUAAUCUCUCUACACUUUCGAUUAACUUAUUGGGAAACAAUCAGUAACAAUCAUAGAAAUGGCGGCUUUCAGUGCACUCUCGCUAUGCCCCUACAAUUUCUCUUGUCGACCAAACCCUAACAAGCGUUGCUUUUUGUGCUCUCUCGCCUCUUCUUCUUCAAUAGAUAAGCAGUCUUCGAGCUUUUCCUGACAAAGUGGAAAGUUUUAUCUUUUCUUUUUUCUUUCUGGCAUGUUUUUCUGAUUUACCAAACAGGGGAUAUAGCUCGUUAAUGUAUUGGAUUAUGAUGUGAGACGUACUAUUUGUGUUGUUUAUUGAUAGCUAAUUAAUUGGAUGAAUGAGAUUUUCUAUUACAUAUGGCUCUCUUUGCAAACAAGUGAUUUAUGACAUGUUUGUAAUCGGUAGAUUAGGGCACUUAAAUCUCCUAGUCAUACUAAAAAAUGUAUUUUUGCUAUUCAUACUAAAAAAUGUAUUUAUGCAAGUUGUUGUAGAGCCAUAUAAUUGAAAUCAGAAAUUCAUGAUUGAAGCUUUGGUUCAUUGUAGCAUGACUUUAACAAAUUAUGUUCUGGUUUCAUGUUUGCUUGAAGCAAAUGCCAGAGUUAAAAAUCACUUCAUCCUCUGGGUUGUUGCCAAGAAAAAAAGGGGGACAAGAAAUGGAAACAAAAUCUUUAUCUUAUGCCUGUUUUUGGGUUUCCAAGAAAUGAAAAACUUCAAUCUGCCCAAGCUAAUUGUUGGACUAGGUUCACUUGACUGGGGUUAUAUUUUCUAGGUGGUAAGCAAUAAAAUUUUUAAGAUUUUAGAAGUUUUAAAGCUACAGGACAUAUUUUAUCUUAGGUUUUGUUUGUAGAAUACAAAAGAUAAGUUUACCCAUAUCAUAAAUUGUCUUCUCCAAUAAAUGUGUUUCUUAUUCUUUCGAUGUACAUUUCUGCCUGUUGCAAACCCUUUUGUUUACUUUUGUUAAAAUCCAACCUUCUCAAUUGUUUUGUUUUGUUGUCUUUGUUAUAUUUAUUUCUGAAAUACAUGAAUGUGAUACUGUUGGUCCAUUGUAGGUACGCGUGGACCUAAAGUACCCCGUAAAAAAUCAGGAAGAUUGGAAGGGGCUGGAAAAAGUAUGGAAGAUUCUGUUCAACGUAAGAUGGAAUAGUUUUAUGAAGGGUCUGAUGGUCCACCUCUCCGUGUCCUUCCAAUUGGAGGCCUGGGUGAAAUUGGGAUGAAUUGCAUGCUUGUUGGGAAUUAUGAUCGUUAUAUUUUGAUCGAUGCUGGUGUUAUGUUUCCAGACUAUGAUGAGCUUGGUGUCCAGAAAAUUAUACGUGAUACCACCUUUAUAAGAAAAUAGAGUCACAAAAUUGAAGCAGUUGUCAUAACACACGGUCACGAGGAUCACAUUGGUGCGUUGCCUUGGAUGUUGAAGACACUGAUUCACUUGUGUUUUGAAUAGAGAAGUUGAGAAUACGCCAUUCAAGAGGUUCAUAUAUUAAUUACUUGCUACAUUGAUGAUUUAUUUGAUGGGGUCAAAAAAACAAUCUGUGAAAAGUACCUAUAUGAUCAUUAGCUGCUCUAUAUUUUGAUGCAGAACUCAAUUCAUUGGUAUGAGUUUUGAUGUAGGAUGACAUUACAGUGAAGCAAAUAGCCAUUAGUAUGUUCACCACAUAUACAAGUUCAGUUGGCAGACAUAGCAUUUUGUUCCUUGUUUCCAUGUAGUGCAACUGAAUGUUAAAUUUUCGCUAGAGAAAUCAUUAGUAAUCAAAAAGUAACAUUGAUUCUCUAAGAAAUAUAUUUAAUUUUGAUCCACUUUAACAUUCA